rnacentral:lncRNA from 1 species
CAGCCGUAGAAACACACAUCUGGAUCGCUCACUACCUAAUUAUACUCUCCUUCUUUCCUUCAUUUCACUCGUCCAAAAAUAAAAUUCACUACUGCUAUUGCUGUUGAGCUUAAUAAUAUCUCCUCUACCCGCCUGGAGGCUGGAGGUUGCAGUCGGCACCUUUUCCUUCCAUACUGAGAAGUCAGGAGAUAUAGAGAGAGAGGUUUGUUUAAGUGGGGUUUCUUAAGGGAUUUUUUUUUUUGAAAAAGGGAUUUAAGGGGUUCAGGGGAAAGAUUAAGAGGGGAUUUUGUAGAAUUGCUUUCGUUUUCAGAGACUACAAAUGGUAAGAACAGGUGCGUCUUUGCUUUCGCUGAAAUUGAUUCCAUUUUUGUUAGCCCAUACUGUUUCAUUUCAUACUACCAGUACUACUAGAAUAUUGAGGAACCCAUUUAAUCCCAAUCCUAAAUUUGCCCCUCCCUUAACAAUAGCGGAUCGGAGAAAAUUAUAUCAAUUAUUGUCUGAUAAAUGCAAAUCCGGAUUUGCUAAGCUCAAAGAUGCUCUUAUUGUAUUGGAUGUAAUGCUCAAAAUAAACCCUUUGCCGGCUAUUUACGCGGCUUUUGUUAGAAUGGAGCAUUACUCAACUGUUGUCUCCCUGUUUAAAGAAAUUUGUGCUGCACGAAU